UUGGUUCCCAUAUAUCAUCCUUUUAUGCAAGUUUUUAAAAAUAUUUUCACCCUUCUAUUUAUGCUAUAUGGAAAAAUGCAUUCGGCAAAUCUUAAGACUGUUCAGCAUAUGUCCAAUUUUUCUGUUGAAGUUUUAUGAAUUAACAGGUGAAGUUAGCCCUCUAAUCUUCAAGGGAUACAGCAAACUCGACAACAAGGGGGAUCUCUACUUUUCUUGCCAUUAUUGCGGCAGCUGGUUCUCAAUAUCUCUUGCUUGCGUCAAAUCUAUUUGCCGAAUCUGAUGAUGAGUUGAUCGUUAAGAGAACAUGAACUUUAUCAGACUCCAUACCGGGGCUAUGUUAUGUUCCAACGACACAGUCUGAAGUUACUUUAUUUCCAUUAGAUACUUUCAAACAGACCUGGCAAUGAUUAUUUGACUUGGUCUUGCACCAUGGACUCUCUAUGUACUCGAUUUUCAAUCUCUUUUGAGCGGUAAAGCACAGAUUUACAUACUGAUGGUUCUCUUUUCGGAGAGCACUACUUCCUUCGUUAAUCUAAGAUGGUAUCUUGACAUUGCUGGUCAGAAGUCGUCUAGACUGUACAUCUUCAAUGGUGUGGCUUUAUGCUUGGGGUGGAUGGUAUGGUGAUUCUAUUCUAAUCAGAAUUCUUCUUGUUUCCAGCUGCAAAAUGUAGAGUUCGUAUAUGUGCAUGUCAACAUACAACAGAAUUGCAAGUUCAGUUAACAGCAUGUGAACAUAUGUUUUCGCGUUAGGUUACUUUUCUAAUCACAUUACGUAUAAAUUAGGCACAUUAGCCGAAGGUUAUGAACUUUCCCAACCAGAGUCUUGUGGUUUUGAAAACCUUGUAUGCUGCUCCUUUAUGGUUUGCGAAUGAGUCGGAAGUAAUUUGAACAGUUUUUAGAAACGAGUGGGGGUGAUUAUGUUGUUCUGAACCUGAGAGGGCAUAAUUUGCAAUUUGCCCUUAGAAUAUCAGCAGCCACUUAACCCUCUAUAUCUUAUCCAAAUGGCAAAAGGGUGGAUUUUUGUCUUCUCCCCAAAAGAGA